UCGUGCAAUAAUUUUACCAACUGUCAAGUGUCAAUAGACCACAACCAAUUCUUAGGAUCUAUUUGUCUUAGAUUCUCCUCCCGAAUCAAAAGAAUGUUCUUGCCCUUAACUAGAUUGAACAAAAAACAACACCACUAGUAAAUUAAAAAAAAAUGUAGUCGACUUUGUUAAGUUUGUCACUAUAGAUUUUUUCCGUUCCCGACUAGAGAGGGAAUGCUACAACAGACUAACAACUUAAUUUCCAAUUUCUCCAUCUGAACUUUCAGCCGCCAUCCAUUUUUUCAAUUCUUCAGCCUGCUUGGUUACUGGAUUGAUCUACGAUAAAGUAUAAGAACUGUUCAAUUGUUGAGCAACCCACUUCCAUCUGAAAUUGAAGUAAAGGUGUUAUCAAGAAUUUUAAAGUUGUCGUUCAUACUUCUCACCUUCUUGCCUUUGUCGUCCAAAAUUUUAAUACUAUGUUUAACUUUGGUAUAGGACUACAGCGAUAUCACCUUCUUCGUUUUUUAUAGAAGAUCCCUAUCACAUCUAUACAAAAACAUUUUAUUCAUUGAAGUAAGUUUUUUUUUAAAAUUCCCUACCAAUUAUUUCUCGAUCAGGAAUGUCCCCAAUGCUGCUGACAGACAUGUACUUGUAAGUCAAGUCAGGAAACUCAUCGUUGCCUUCAGCAUUCUCUAUACUGACCUGCAGAUUGUCUAAUUAUUGAUGUAUUUCACAAAGUGUUGGUUUAAAGAAACUUACUGUAGUUGAAGGAAUGGGAGUGGAUGCUAUAUUCCCUCAUAAUAUAACUAAAAUUUUUUUCAGUCAAAAUGUUAAGUUACUAAAAUAAAAAUUUGAGCUAAGAAAAACUCUUGCAUUAUAGAAGUAAAUUUAAUUCAAUCAUA